UCAUUCCUUUUUUGAAGCCCAUAGGUAGAGAAAGAGAGAAUGCUAGUGAGGCGCCGGCUAGAAGUUGAUAAAAUAUGUGGAAGGUUCUCUCGUCCUUGGCCUGACGGAUAGCCCUGGAUUUUUCAAGGAGUUUUCGCAUUUCCAAAGGCCUCCAAGAUGGGAUUGGCUUGCAGUAAUUGUUGUUCCAGUUCACCCUGCGAAACAGAUUCAGUCACAAGUUAAAAAUCUGCGAAUAAUGACAAAAAUAAUGCGAGACUACAGAGUGCAAAAUUUUACCAAAAUUCCCUCCUUUUGCAGCGAAAAUUAAUUAAAAAUUCCACAUGCGAUUACCUAGAGUAACUUUACACGACACUUGUACCGUAUCAAAUUUUCAUUACAAAUAAUAAAAAAAAUACCAACUCUCAUACAGAAUCGUUCUACUGGUAAAUAUUUUUGACGUCAUAAAACAAAAAUCUGUUUGAUCGGUGAAAAUAUUGAAGUUUUACACACAUGCUGGAAUAUGAUUGAAGAAAUUUACUUUCUUGCAAUACUACGUUUUUUUUCUAUAUUUUACUCUGAACUCAUAUUUUUUGUAUCAGUAUUGGUAACGGCAAAGAAUUUUAAAUACAGAUAGGAAAAAGAACUUCAAACGUACAACAUGAUACGGCACAGCGACCGAUGCAGAAUGUUUACGAAUUUUGCAAGCACUGCAGAUACACAUAUACAUAUAUGUAAGGAAUGCGAUAAAAAAAAAAAGUUGCCCACGUUGCAACACAGGUAAUAUAUACCCUCAGGCAACGAUUAUUAUCGUCCGCACAUGAAAUAUAUCAGAAGACACAGAGAGUUAAAAAUUACAGCAAGCAUUAAUUCUGCACUUUUUUUUUUCAAAUAAACUACCCUGUUUUAAGAUUGUACAAAGAGAAAAGAAAAAGCAAUUUUCAGGAUAUAAAUAACCACAUUAAAAAAUAUCAAGCAGGCAGCACCAUCGUUAUGCAUAUAAUAAUUAUACAUUAUAGAUUACACGUGUGUUCGUAUAUAAUGAUCAGUGUUAAUUACCGAAAAUUUUUCCGUAAGCGUCCCUGUAGGUGACUUCAUUUACGAUGAGCAGGAAAGCGAGUGAACAAAACAAAACAAAAAAAAAAGACAACAACAACCCAUAAUUAGAUGUCAUUAUUUUUUGUUACUUUCACAAAUGAAUUUGUUACAAAAUUGUAGUAAUAAUGAAUAUUGAUGUGAGAAAAAAAAGCAACACGAAACAAUGAUACUGUUAAUACUUAGGCCAAAAUUUGGAAAAACUGAAAAAAAACACAGCCACAUAUAUUUGUUAAUUAUAUAUAUAUAUAUAAAACAAGAGGAAAAAAAAUCUGGUAAAUUCCGUAGACGUGUUAAAAAACGGUCGAAACCUAAAUAAUUAUUAAAAAAAUUAUUUUUCUUUCUUCUCAUUUUUAAUAAAGCGUCACAUCUAAGGAAUGGUGUAUAAAUUAUAUACCUAUAUAAUACGUUAAACCUGAUUUGGCUGUUCAUAUUUAAUAUUUCAACUUACAAUGAUCAACGCCGGACUUGGAGUCUGUGGGUGGAUCCGGAAAUGUCACCACCGAGAAUAAAAGAAAUUUUAAACAUUAGAUUCACUCGCCUCUUUACACAGAAUAUAACGUAAUUUCGAUAACAUUUUUGCUUAUAUAACUUACACGUAUUAUAUGCGUUUAAUUAUCUAAACUUCGUAAAUUAGGAUAAAAAAAAAAAUAAAUUAAAUAAAAAAUUUUCACAUACAUUCUUCGUGGAAAAAAAUAAAUUACAAGUAUGACAAACCAAUCGUGAAAAUUAAGACGGAUUUAACAUUGUGCGGGUAACCCUGUGUACAAUUCAUUUAUAUUUUUUGUGCUUCUUACAAAAAAAGAGGGGCAGGGGGGGCAAGAAAUUGGGAACACGCAAAGGUGUGCGCGGUGAAUUGCGUAAAGUGCAUUCAUAAUGCAAUUAACGAUAACUAUCUCGUAUAAUAAUGAUUGACGGUGUUGCUCCUAAUCUAAUUUCAUAAUGUGCGGCACGCGAUGCGAACCAAGUACCGCGUAGUUGAAUAAUUACGACAAUAACAAUAAUAACAAUAAUAAUAAUUGGAACAAGUCGCAAGAAAAAUAAUAGUAAUAAUCGGUAAAUACUUUUACAACUAUUUUACAAAAUUCCGUACAGAUUGCUAAACGAAUAAAAGAAAACAAAAAAAAAAAAAAAAAAAAUAAACCAUCCCGGAUCAAACGAAGCAUCCGAGUGCAAAUUCGAUUAGAUACAUUAAAUA